rnacentral:snoRNA from 1 species
AGACCAUGAUAAGGGCAAUGCUUAAGCAGAUCCUUGUAUCUCUCCCAAGCUUCGUACAACGAUUCCACAUCUAGUUACAUGAAUGAUGUGAUAUCAUUCCUCAUCUU